rnacentral:rRNA from 1 species
UAGAGACUCAGAGCUGCAUAUCAAUAAGCGGAGGAAAAGAAACUAACAAGGAUUCCCUUAGUAACGGCGAGUGGAAGCGGGAAGAGCUCAAAUUUGAAAUCUUCAAGGUUCUACCUUGACGAAUUGUAGUUUAUAGAAGUGUUUUCUGUUAGUAGAGUGGCAAAAGUUCUUUGGAAUAGGACAUCAUAGAGGGUGAGAAUCCCGUAUUUGGUCAUUCUUUCUAGCUUUGUGAUACACUUUCAACGAGUCGGAUUGUUUGGGAAUGCAGUCCAAAAUGGGUGGUAAAUUUCAUCUAAAGCUAAAUAUUGGCGAGAGACCGAUAGCGAACAAGUACCGUGAGGGAAAGAUGAAAAGAACUUUGAAAAGAGAGUUAAACAGUACGUGAAAUUGUCAAAAGGGAAGCGUUUGACACCGGUGUUGUUUAGUUGAAAAUCAAUUAAAUAUUUUUCGAUUUUAAGUAGUAUUGACCUUAUCAGCUUGCUGCUUUUUUCUCGGAAAUUAUUUAAUGCACUUUUCAGUUAACAAGUCAACAUCAAUUUCUUUUGUUGUAAAAAGGUAAGAGGAAGGUGGCUUGCGCUUCGGCUCAAGUGUUUAUAGCCUUUUACCCCUGCAAUCGGAGAGAUUGAGGUCUGCAGCGUAGAUCCUUCGGGGUUAGAUACAUUUGUGCUAAGCUAUAGCCUUGUAUAGACAACUUGUUGACUAUGCUCAGUCAUGUAGCUUACUCGCUUAUGCUAUUUUACCUACGCUUAGGAUGUUGA